AAAACAAGUAUGCCUAUUGAAGUGUGUGGUCUUGAUAUCUAAGUAGCGCAUUGCGGACGUUGCAUGCAGCGGUUUGUGGCGUUAGCUGGCGGCAUCGGCAGGUUGGUGUAUGGGAGGCUGCCGUCGGGAACUCGUCGUAGCGGCGGAGUGGCGCACGCGCGGGGCAGAGCGCUCGCGACCGGCGCACCACACCACCGCACCGGACCGGCCACGACUCCGACCAUUCGCCACUCAGUGCACGCGCUGCCUUGCCGCCGCCAGUCUGCGCGGCCCUCCGCGAUUCCACGCGCCAACACGCCCGAUAACCCUCCGAUACAUGACAACAAACUUUAACAUUCCAUUAAUUAACUCAACUUUUACCAGUUUCCAAUGUGCUUUCGCAAAUCGUAGGACUUUACUGUAAAGUGCUUGGUUUUGUAACUUAACCAUUUUCCAAGUGCAUCUAAAAAGUGACGUUAAUUUGUUUGUUAGUGCUGGAGAUUAUUUGCGAUCUGAAUUUUAAGACGGAGGUACCAAAACCAGUAAAUGAUGUGAUUUUACCCCGUCCUACUUUGUAGGAAACAUUCACAACACGCCUACGCCACAA